CGUUGAAACACCGGUUCUCGAACGAUCAUCAAAGUUAAGCAAUAUCGAGUCUGGUCAAUAACUAGAUGGGUGACCGCUUGGAAAUACCAGGUGCUGUAA